rnacentral:sRNA from 1 species
AUAAGAUUAGCAUGGCCCCUGCGCAAGGAUGACACGCAGAUUCUAAUCAAUUUAA